rnacentral:lncRNA from 1 species
GCCUACCUCUUAGAGAGUAGUUGCUUUUUCAAUUUGCUCAGCGACCAAACGGAUUGAGAGAUGCUUUAAAAUGUUGUCUUUGUUAAUUUGUUGGUGGCUUUCCACACUCUGGGCGGCAAGGAUUUCAAGAGGCCCUGACGCCCCUAUUGUCAUAUUUGGAUCCCCAUUAGCUUUUGCCGAAGCAGCAGCUAUUCUUCCUGCAGCACACAAAAAUAUGAAACACGACAAGUAACAAAACACUGAUACGCUUAUAGACAAGAACAGUCACACACAUAUUUUAUAUAACAAAGUACUAACAAUAAUGUGUGUAUUAGAGUGUGUAUGUGUGUGUGUAUAAUUUCACAAUACCUAUUGUGCCAUGAGAUGUUGUUUUAUAACUUUUCUAAAGGUAAUUUUGCUGUUUGCUUGAGGAAUUGGAGAUGGAUGGGAGUUACAUGUGAUUAUGGCUCAGUAUAACACUGCAUUGCCGUGAAUUCGUUUUGGACCUGGGGACUGUGGUGGCAUGACUUGUGGGGGGCAGGCAAACGACAGGUCAAGGCAGGCAGGGGUCAAUAAUCUAGAGAACGUAUAAAGGCUCCAGAACGGCAGGCAGUCUCAGGGUCAGGGCAGGCAGAACGGUCAAAACCGGGAAGGACUAGAAAACAGGAGCAUGAAAACAGGCAGGAGCAGGGGAACAAACGCUGGUAGGUUUGAUGAAUAAGGGGGACCCAGGCGUCAUAGGGGCGCCACCUGGCAUCAUACCUGGGCACAUACCUGGUUGACCGGGGUGUCUGUGUUGGAAAUCUGCGAUGAGGCCUGGGCCCAGGAUGUCCCUGGAGGGGACCCAGCACCUCUCCUCUGGGCCAUAACCCUUCCAGUCAACCAGGUACUGGAACCCCCUUCCCCGAUGUCGAACCUUCAGGAGACGCCUCACCAUGUACACCAGUUGGCCGUCGUUGAGACGGGGAAGAGGUGUGGGCCUGGAAACAGAAGACAAAGGGCUGUGAGACAUGGGUUUAACUCUGAACACAUGAAAGGUGGGAUGUAUACGAAGGGUUCGGGGCAACAGAAGACGAACAGCAGAGGGGCUAAUAAUUUUGGAGAUGGGAAACGGGACAAUAAACCGGGGGGAGAGUUUGCGGGAUUACACCCGGAGGGGCAGAUCCCGGGUGUAUAGCCAUACCUUCUGCCCGAGACGAUACCGGGGAGCCGGGGUCCGGUGGCAAUCCGCUUGUCGUCGAUACAUGGAGGUGGUUUUGAAGAGGGCCGACUGAGCUUUCCUCCAGGUAUGACGAGAGCGGCGGACAAACAUCUGGGCAGAAGGUAUGCCGACCUCUUCUUCCUGCUCGGGGAAGAGAGGGGGCUAUUACCCCAGGGAACACUCAAAUGGCGAUAGGUCCGUGGCAGAGCAGGGAAGGGUGUUGCCGGCGUUUUCCACGCACACAAGUUGCUGGCUCCAGGUGGUGGGGUUGGCGGAGACCAGGCAGCGCAGAGUAGUCUCGAGGUCCUGGUUUGCUCGCUCCGACUAGCCGUUGGACUGGGGGUAGAACCCGGAGGACAGGCUUGCCGAUGACCCAAUGAGGGUGCAGAACACCUUCCAGAACCGGGACGAGAACUGAGGACCCCAGUUGGAGACCAUGUCCACGGGCAGUCCAUGGAUCAGGAAGAAGUGCUGCACCAUGAGCUGGGCCGUCUCCUUGUCAGAGGGUAGCUUCCAGAGAGGAAUGAAAUGGGCGGCCUUGGAAAAGCGAUCCACCACAGUCAGGAUGGCGGUGUUGCCAUCAGACGGGGAAAGACUUGUGACAAAGUCCAGGGAAAUGUGAGACCAGGGACGGUGAGGGGUUGGAGGAGACCAGGCAGCGCUUGCUGAGGAGUCUUGUUUUGUGCACAAAACGUGCAAGCGGGGACGAAUGUGGAGAUGUCAGGGACCAUGGUAGGCAACCAAAAGCAUUGUUGCAGAAAAGCCAAGGUCCGACAGGAGCCUGGGUGGCAGGCAAGUCUGGAGGAGUGGGCCCACUCCAAGACCGCGUCAGGCACGGGAAUGCUGCGCCUCCCGAACCUGCUUCCCUAUUCCCCAGCUGAGUGCCGUCGCCAGGCACGAGGUGGGAAGGAGGGUCUCAGGUUCUGGGGUAGUAGUCAUGGGGCUAUAGCGGCGUGACAGCGCAUCUGGCUUGAUGUUCAUUGAUCCCAGCCGGUAGGAGAGGGAGAAGUUGAACUGGGUGAACAGUAGGGCCCAUCUAGCCUGCCUGGAAUUGAGGGGCUUGGCAGUGUGGAGAUAUUCCAGUUUCUUGUGGUCAGUCCACACAAUGAAUGGAUGUUCCGCCCCCUCCAGCCAAUGCCUCCAACUCCUCGUGCCUUCCAAUGGUGGCUCCUUGGGAGGAGAUGGCAUUGCGGAGCUGGGCCGAGUCUGCUGGGUCAGUCUGGGCCAGUUCGUACUAUCACGUUUGAGGUAUGACCCAGAUGCAGACAGAGUUGAAGAAACAAAAGUUUAUUCCUAACAACAGGGGCAGGCAAACGACAGGUCAAGGCAGGCAGGGGUCAAUAAUCCAGAGAAUGAAUAAAGGAUCCAGAACGGCAGGCAGUCUCAGGGUCAGGGCAGGCAGAACGGUCAAAACCGGGAAGAACUAGAAAACAGGAGCAGGAAAACAGGAAGGAGCAGGGAAACAAACGCUGGUAGGUUUGACGAACAAAACAAAAUGGCAACAGACAGAGAACACAGGUAUAAAUACACAGGGGAUAAUGGGGAAGAUGGGCGACACCUGGAGGGAGGUGGAGACAAUCAACAAAGACAGGCGAAACAGAUCAAGGUGUGACAAAGGGAAUGUUCUCCGAACUUUAACACCAAAACAUGCUAAAAGGGUUAUCAGAAGGUUUUUUCUACAUAAAAUAAAUAAAGAUAGAUACAAUUUUCCCCUAAUUAACAGAAAACUGGACACUCAAACAUUAGGGGAACAUUACAGGUAAAAUUACAUAAACAUUCUCUCUCCUUAGAAUUGUUAGCUGGAGAGGUCUAUCUAAAUCUAAUCUAAUCUAUUCCCCAUGGUGUUCAGCACAGCUGGGUGACUUUAUACAGUAAGCUCAGGAUGGUGUAGAAGGAAGUCUCUGGUUCUCCCACCUCCCCAUCUGUCCUGCUAGUGAGAGCUUUCUGUCAGCUAUGGCACAUUAACAGAGAGCUGCAGAUUUUACCGCACAGGGUACCAGAGGUGUGGACUCGAGUCACAUGACUUGGACUCGAGUCAGACUCGAGUCGCAAAUAUGAUGACUUGCAACUCGACUUUGACUUUAACACCAAUUACUCGUGACUUGACUUGGACUUGAGCCUUAUGACUUGACCUGACUUGAUACCCUCCCCAAGCCCAAAUAUAAAAAAUUAUGCUAUUAAAAAAGUGUGCAGCGCAUCAACUCUUCAUUUAACGGAUUACAGUUUGAAUCGGACAGCAGCCAAUCAAAUUGUGCCAGCUGAGAAAAAGUAUUUCUCAUGGCUACCCAUGUAUUUCCAUGGAAAUAUAACGUUUAUUUGGAAAGUAAUACAUAUAUAGAUAUUUCUAAAAGCAUUCAUGAUUUGCGUAAAUGUAAUAUACUAUUACUCUUGUUAAAAAUAUGAAACGGUAUUACAUUUGGUGAAGCGCACAUUAUGACUGUUUAGGACUCGAAACUCAAAGUUUAGGACUUGAGACUUGACUUGAGAGUUGGCUCGGACUUGCCUGUCUUGACUUGAGACUUGAGACUUACUUGUGACUUGCAAAACAAUGACUUGGUCCCACCACUGCAGGGUACAGACAGACAAUAAAGGGGAUCUCCAGAUCUCUCCCUCUCACUCUCUCGAUACACACACAUUCCAUACUGCUGAAAGAGUGCAGACAAACAGUUUUUAAUGGAACCAUGCUUUAAAAGAAAAUGUAUGUGUAACUGACACAAAGUUAAAUAAAUGAAGUAUUUCCAAAUAAACAAGGUUACAAAGUCAGGCGUAGGGGCAAGGGCUGCCUGGGGCAGGCUGGGUUGAGAUAUGCAGGGGUAGGGGCUGGUUGGGCAGAAGCAGGGCUAAGGGCAGAGGCAGGCUGGGUUGAGGUAUGCAGGGGUAGGGGCUGGUUGGGCAGAAGCAGGGCUAAGGGCAGAGGCAGGCUGGUGGAGGUAUGCAGGGGUAGGGGCUGGUUGGGCAGAAGCAGGGCUAAGGGCAGAGGCAGGCUGGUGGAGGUGUGCAGGGGUAGGGGCUGGUUGGGCAGAAGCAGGGCUAAGGGCAGAGGCAGGGUGGGUGGAGGUGUGCAUGGAUCCACUGAUGCUGACUGUAGCUCCAUUGUGGUCCCUCCUGCUGUACGUCCCUGUUGCACAACAGACACCUACAGAAGGGAGGGACCACAGCACAGACAGAUUUGAUGAUGUCCAAAAUCACAAGUGAGUAGGCUACUUUCAGGAAAGUCUGCCUCUGCGGAUUCAGCCUGGUCCUACCUAUGGGGGUCCAUGGGUGAGGAUGGGAGGUUCUGGGGCAUCCCAGGGCCAUGCCUGGUGUGUGGGGGUUGGUGUCCCAAUCAGAACUGCCCUGGGGUGGGUGGACCCUGGGCACUAGGCCCAUCUAUGAGGGACAACGGUUCAACCACCAAUAAAUCCAG